rnacentral:lncRNA from 1 species
AGCAAACCAGGAACUUGCACAACUAGAGCUAAUAAGUCGUAUAUGUGGGAGUCCGUGUCCUGCAGUAUGGCCUGAUGUAAUCAAACUGCCAUAUUUCAACACCAUGAAACCAAAGAAGCAAUAUCGGCGGAAGUUAAGAGAAGAGUUUGUUUUGUAAGAAAGGGAUGCUUAAAUAUCCAUAUUGCAUUGAAUGCUUAUUUUGUAGUCAAAUUUGUUUCUUUGGUCUUUCAUUAUAAUUGAAGGCAGAGUUUCACAGACUGACCCUGAAUUGUCUAUGUAGCUUAGGAUGGUCUUGAACUUGUAACCUUCCCUGCCUCGUAAGUGCUGAGGUCAUGGGUGUGCCCUAAUUUUUUGAGAGAUCUAAGUCCCCUUGACCUGAGAUAGACACACUGCAGCUCUUCUUCCAGAGCCUUGUGCUGUGAGUUUCUCUUUGCUGCACGUGAAAUGCCUUUUCUCUCAUAACGUCUGUGAUGAGCCAUUAGAUUUUGUUUAUACAAAGAAAACUUUUAAUAAUAGUGUUGUAAAUUUCAUUAAAACAGCUUUCAUACGACUUGAGCUUAGGUUUUUAUUUUAUUUUAGGCUGUUAGUUUUUAAUUUAUAACCAUGAAUUUCUCAGAGAGUAAUGAAGGAUAUUAUUUGCUAAAUAGUCCAGCACUGUAUAAAAAUAACAAUACUUUUUGAAAAGAAAAUUGAUACUUGUGCAACAUACUGAAUACAUUAUUUAACCAAUAUUUCAUUAACACUUAACUGAUUAAUAAAUGUUUUAAAAUAUC